rnacentral:tRNA from 1 species
GGCGGGCAGGAAGGCCCGGCGGUCCAGCGCCGCCAUGGCGGCGGCGACGUCCGGCACGCCGGACGGGUCGCUGCGGUCGCUCCCUGGGUCCGCCA